GGCCGCAUCCCGUUGAAGCACCGGUUCCCAUAAGAUCACCGAAGUUAAGCAACGCGAAGGCUGGUUAGUACUUAGAUAGGUGACCACUUGGGAAUACCAGGUGCUGUAUG